rnacentral:rRNA from 1 species
GCAGCCUGAUGCAGCGACGCCGCGUGAGGGAUGACGGCCUUCGGGUUGUAAACCUCUUUCAAUAGGGACGAAGCGCAAGUGACGGUACCUAUAGAAGAAGGACCGGCCAACUACGUGCCAGCAGCCGCGGUAAUACGUAGGGUCCGAGCGUUGUCCGGAAUUACUGGGCGUAAAGAGCUCGUAGGUGGUUUGUCGCGUUGUUCGUGAAAACUCACAGCUUAACUGUGGGCGUGCGGGCGAUACGGGCAGACUAGAGUACUGCAGGGGAGACUGGAAUUCCUGGUGUAGCGGUGGAAUGCGCAGAUAUCAGGAGGAACACCGGUGGCGAAGGCGGGUCUCUGGGCAGUAACUGACGCUGAGGAGCGAAAGCGUGGGGAGCGAACAGGAUUAGAUACCCUGGUAGUCCACGCCGUAAACGGUGGGUACUAGGUGUGGGUUUCCUUCCUUGGGAUCCGUGCCGUAGCUAACGCAUUAAGUACCCCGCCUGGGGAGUACGGCCGCAAGGCUAAAACUCAAAGAAAUUGACGGGGGCCCGCACAAGCGGCGGAGCAUGUGGAUUAAUUCGAUGCAACGCGAAGAACCUUACCUGGGUUUGACAUGCACAGGACGCUGGUAGAGAUAUCAGUUCCCUUGUGGC